GUAGUCGUGGCGGAGUGGUUAAGGUGAUAGACUAGAAAUCCGUUGGGCUUUUUCUGCGCAGGUUCGAAUCCUACCGACGGUU
rnacentral:tRNA from 1 species